UACAGAGGUCUCAAGCGUUGUUCGGAUUCAUUGGGCGUAAAGGGUGCGUAGGCGGCGCGGUAAGUCGGAUGUGAAAGCCCUUGGCUCAACUGAGGAAGUGCAUCCGAAACUGGCAGGCUAGAGUACUAAAGAGGAUCGCGGAAUUCCCGGUGUAGAGGUGAAAUUCGUAGAUAUCGGGAGGAACACCGGUGGCGAAGGCGGCGA
rnacentral:rRNA from 1 species